AUGGACAUAUAUGAUACUGUGUACAUGUGUACUGUUUUCAGAGUUCGGAUUCUUUCCUGGGUUCAUCAUGGCAGGUGUAAGGGACGAGGGGACAAGGGGCUGAGGAGUUGGCACGGGCUCGGCGGGCGUAAGCUAGGUGGGCCCAUCCGCCUGGAUCGUCCCCAGAAUCCGGCAAGAUUGGUUACUUACAAAGCAGGGCGCCCAGCCAACCCGCGCGGGCUGAGGCCUGGACGCUGGGACAGGAGACCAAAAAUGCCCGCCCCGCCCCUAAAGGGCGCUUUACCGCCGCGGAGAAAUGCGGCCCGUUGCCAGCCGCUGCGAUGUUCCCUGCUACUAAGGAAUCCGUCACUCGCUGCCCCCUCCUCAGCCCCCAAAGAUGGAGGGGCCGCCUUCCUGAUGGCCGCCUUGGGACGUGGGAUUCGGGCAGGUGCGGGGGCCCCCUGGGAACACAGAAAGAACACUGCGUCGGGAGAGCUGGGUGGCAUUCCCAGGCCUGGGCCGCCCACUUGUUCAGCUCCCUUUCCUCAUCUAGGGGUUAUGCUUUCACCAUGGGCCCCAGAAAGUUGGGGACUCGCUCCGGCACGACCCCCGCUCGCAGCCAGGUGCGGCUUCUCCCUCUCGCCUUCACCCAACAGCCUGCGGCUACCCCAAGGCCGGGACCCCUGGGUGCGGCACAGGGUGGACAUCCCCGGGACUCUGCUAAUGCACGUCCGACUCCACUUCCGAAUAGCAAGCAUGGACUCCCUUUCUGACGUCGCCUCCAGAAUUUUGCUGGCUUUGGCCUCCCUAGCCCACCGGCGGCGGGAACCACUGCGCAGCCUUCGGACCUCGGCCGUUAGCGCACCGCUUCUUACCUUACCCGGCUGGCGCGGGUUCACAAAACUAGCACCGACUAAAUAUUUCUGGAAUGGAGACAAGCCUUCUGGUAGAGCAAAAGGUGGGGGUGCUGUGGCUGGAAUCCCGCUUGCCUGUCAUUUCGAUAGAAUUCGGGGUAGAGAUUUACCAAAAGGCUUGAUUCUUCUCCUGCCAUUGCAUCUGAACCUACUUACUAAACACCCUAAGCCGAGAUCCAGUGCUGGAACCAGAUGGAGAAGUCAGUCAUUUGUCAUCGCACUGAACAGCAAUUCCCCUUGA
ensembl:lncRNA